CAAUAGCGUAUAUUUAAGUUGUUGCAGUUAAAAAGCUCGUAGUUGGAUUUCUGCUGAUCGCUGUCGGUCUGCCGUCAGGUGUGUACUGGCAGUGUUUGGCAUCUAUUCGAGAUUAGGUGUCCACUUGAUUGUGUGCACUCGAUGUCGGAGCUAAUACUUUGAGAAAAUUAGAGUGUUCCACGCAGGCGCGUGCCUUGAAUACUGCAGCAUGGGAUAUUGGAAGGCCGAUUGAGCUUUCUUGUUGGUUCUCGGUUUGAUCGGAAUGAUUAAUAGGGAUAGUUGGGGGCAUUCGUAUUCAACUGUCAGAGGUGAAAUUCUUGGAUUUGUUGAAGACGGACUACUGCGAAAGCAUCUGCCAUGGAUGUUCNCAUUGA
rnacentral:rRNA from 1 species